UACGAAGGGUGCAAGCGUUACUCGGAAUUACUGGGCGUAAAGCGUGCGUAGGUGGUUCGUUAAGUCUGAUGUGAAAGCCCUGGGCUCAACCUGGGAAUGGCAUUGGAAACUGGCGACCUAGAGUGCGGUAGAGGGUAGUGGAAUUCCCGGUGUAGCAGUGAAAUGCGUAGAGAUCGGGAGGAACAUCUGUGGCGAAGGCGACUGCCUGGGUCAAGAUUGACGCUCAUGCACGAAAGCGUGGGGAGCAAACAGG
rnacentral:rRNA from 1 species